CUGUGCUGCUGCUGUCUGGUUCCACUGAUUCAGCAGUCUCUCUGAGUAUCAGUCCAGACCUUCAGCAGUUCUUCACCAGAGAGUCUCCACUGACUCUGAGCUGUGAUGAAGACGGACGGACAGCUGAUGGAUGGACGGUGAAGAGGAGAGCAGGAGGACAGACUGGACAGUGUGGUGUUGGUCAACAAGACUUUGGGAGGAUUGUAGAUUCUAACUGCAUCAUCUCAAGUCCCUUUCAAUCAGAUUCUGGAGUUUACUGGUGUGAAAGAUCUGGAGAGAGAAGUGAAGAGAUCAACAUCGUAGUUACUGAUCUUCCCUUUAAGCUGGAGAUUCCUGCAGUUCCUGUGCUGACAGGAAGUGAUGUCACUCUGCGCUGUAGGACCAACGAUGGUUCCACACCAGCACCUGAUUUAUUAAAGAACGGUGAACGUAUCAGAUCUGACUCUAAAGGAGAGUUUAUCAUCAGUAACGUCCAACAGUCUGAUGAAGGUCUCUACUCGUGUGUUGUUGGUCUGACUGGAGAAUCUGC